ensembl:snRNA U6 U6 spliceosomal RNA
GUGCUUGCUAUGGAAGCAUAUUCACUAAAAUUGGAAUGGUAACAGAGAAGAUUAGCAUGGCUCCUGUGCAAGGACAACAUGUAAAUUUGUGAAGCAUUCCAUUUUUUU